rnacentral:rRNA from 1 species
AUUGAACGCUGGCGGCAGGCCUAACACAUGCAAGUCGAGCGAGCGGCGGACGGGUGAGUACUGUCUGGGAAACUGCCUGAUGGAGGGGGAUCACUACUGGAAACGGUAGCUAAUACCGCAUCCCAUCCGCUGUGCCCAGAUGGGAUUAGCUAGUAGGUGGGGUAACGGCUCACCUAGGCGACGAUCCCUAGCUGGUCUGAGAGGAUGACCAGCCACACUGGAACUGAGACACGGUCCAGACUCCUACGGGAGGCAGCAGUAGGGAAUAUUGCACAAUGGGCGCAAGCCUGAUGGAGCCAUGCCGCGUGAGUGAAGAAGGCCUUCGGAUUGUAAAGCACUGUCGGCGGGGAGGCGUUACCCGCAGAAGAAGCACCGGCUAACUCCGUGCCAGCAGCCGCGGUAAUUC